GCAAAGGGUAAGUGGUUUCAUUCAUUCAA
rnacentral:piRNA from 1 species